rnacentral:rRNA from 1 species
UCCGUAGGCGGACUAAUAAGUCAGGGGUGAAAUCCAACAGCUUAACUGUUGAACUGCCCUUGAUACUGUUAGUCUUGAAUUAUAUGGAAGUAGAUAGAAUGUGUAGUGUAGCGGUGAAAUGCUUAGAGAUUACACAGAAUACCGAUUGCGAAGGCAGUCUACUACGUAUAUAUUGACGCUAAUGGACGAAAGCGUGGGGAGCGAACAGGAUUAGAUACCCUGGUAGUCC